rnacentral:rRNA from 1 species
CAAUAGCGUAUAUUUAAGUUGUUGCAGUUAAAAAGCUCGUAGUUGGAUUUUGGGUCGGGGCGUCCGGUCCGCCGUUCCGGUGUACACUGGGCGCCCCUUCCUUUCUGCCGGGGACCGCCUGGGGCUUUAAGUAGCUCGAGGCGGGAGUCGGCGUUGUUACUUUGAAAAAAUUAGAGUGUUCAAAGCAAGCCAUCGCUCUGAAUACAUUAGCAUGGAAUAACAUGAUAGGACUCCGCUCUUAUUUUGUUGGUUUCCGAGACUGGAGUAAUGAUUAAGAGGGACAGUCGGGGGCAUCCGUAUUUCAUUGUCAGAGGUGAAAUUCUUGGAUUUAUGAAAGACGAACUUCUGCGAAAGCAUUUGCCAAGGAUGUUUUCAUUAA